rnacentral:rRNA from 1 species
UACGUAGGGGGCAAGCGUUGUCCGGAAUUAUUGGGCGUAAAGAGCUCGUAGGCGGCUCGUCGCGUCGACCGUGAAAACCCGGCGGCUUAACUGCGGGCUUGCGGUUGAUACGGGCGGGCUAGAGUUCGGUAGGGGGAGACUGGAAUUCCUGGUGUAGCGGUGAAAUGCGCAGAUAUCAGGAGGAACACCGGUGGCGAAGGCGGGUCUCUGGGCCGAUACUGACGCUGAGGAGCGAAAGCGUGGGGAGCGAACAGG